UUUACUCGAUACUCUUCUUCAAUUUUCUCCUUGAAGUUCUUCGCAGCAUCAGCACUAAGCUUUGUAUGACAAGCUACUUUGCAUGUCUCAUCUAUCCUCAUUUUGAAAGUAUAGACGGAAUUCUCAAUUCGAUCACCACGGAGGACCUCUCCCAAAUUCUCAGCACUGUUGAUGAUUUUUGCUGGCUUACAGUAAUCCAAGAAAUAGUAAUCAUAGGGAAGUUGAGUCUUCGUAGAUGAAAGUUUGUUCACUUUCACUUGAAGUUCAUCACCCUUGAGGAAAUCGCGCGGGGCGACACCGGGGAGGUAGAAGGAUUUGG
rnacentral:misc_RNA from 1 species